CUUGCUGUCCCCAGUCCACCUGGUCGUGCUGCUGCUCCAGUUUGAACUGUUCUGCCUGUGGCUAUGGAACCCUGACCUGUUCACCGGACGUGCUACCUGUUCCAGACCUGCUGUUUUCAACUCUCUAGAGACACCAAGAGCGGUAGAGAUACUCUGAAUGAUCGGCUAUGAAAAGCCAACUGACAUUUACGCCUGAGGUGCUGACCGGCACCCUCUACAACCACUGUGAUUAUUAUUAUUUGACCCUACUGGUCAUUUAUGAAUAUUUGAACAUCUUGGCCAUGUUCUGUUAUAAUCUCCACUCAGCACAGCCAGAAGAGGACUGGCCACCCCUCAGCCUGGUUCCUCUCUAGGUUUCUUCCUAGGUUCUGGCCUUUUUAGGGAGUUUUUCUUAGCCACCGUGCUUCUACACCUGCAUUGCUUGCUGUUUGGGGUUUUAGGCUGGGUUUCUGUACAGCACUUUGUGACAUCAGCUGAUGUAAGAAGGGCUUUAUAAAUUAAUUUGAUUGAUUGAAACUCUUUUCUUUUGGGGGAACUAUCAUUUUCAAAUGUGUUCUAUUUUAGUCCAUGAUAUUGUUACAAAAUAGAUGUGUUGACUGAUUAGGGUAUGGGAAUAUAAGAGCAUCUGCUAGGCUAAAUUAAACUAGGCAUGCACAGCGCACCACAUGAUCCUCAAACCAAAGACUGGCCAAACUCGUGCUUCUAAAAGUGAAUUCAAAAAGGUGUUUUUCAGUUCAUUCUGAUCAGAAUGAGUUGUUCCCCACACAAGGGCUUUCUUACAGACAGAAAUACCCUCCCCCUCAUCAGAUUUGGAGGUCCUGGGCUACAUUUUUUUGUAGGUAUGGGAUCUUUUAUUUCAACUCAAGAAAAAUGGGACCAGUGUUUUAUUUUUGUUCAGUGUAGCAUAAAACAUUGCGUAUGUCAUUAUAGAUCGCUUUAUAUAAUCAGGUCCAUUUUAAUUUAUUUUGAAAUCUUAAAUUAUCAAGAUGUAGGCCUAUGCUUUUAGUCAUUUUCUUCAACUAAAGCAACAUCACCCUCACAUAACUCCUCAAUUCAAGACCUGUUUUGACCUUAACACAGCAAGCUCUUCACUUACACAGAUAUUUAAGGAGUGCAUGGUCACUGAAGUGAUUGGCUGACAAUCUAUGGAUGGUAGACUAUAAAUUCAUCUGUCAAACAGGUAGGCCUACCUGUUAUUUCUUGAAUAUGAAUAGGUUCUUAAACAAAGCACUCUUGUUAGUAUUCUAAAGUCAAAUUAAAAUGAAGACUUUAAAUGAAUUAGGUCUUCUUAUAUUUACCUACUACCCAUGCGCUGUCCAUCUCCGCAGCUGCAAAGUAAUGUAUGUAAAUUACUCAGGGCUUUUUGAGGUCAAUAACUCUGAUAAAUAGCUUCAUUAUGGGCAACUAAACCAAUGUUUAUAUUAAAAUGAAUUAUAAUGAGGUCAUCCUCUUCACGCUCUCCCUUUCAAACGGAAUAGGACAUCAGUAGGUCUAGUCCGCGUGAACAGAUAUGGCAUUUUUUAAAAUAUAUAUAUUGACUGGCCUCCUGAAGUGCCACCGUACACAGCACAGUCAUUGGUUAGGCAGCCGCAGCACAAAGGGGUUUACUUCAGCAAGAGCAUUGCAGGAUGGGCCUCUUGAUUGGGAACGCCUAUCCAUUGCAGUGUGUAAUGCAGUGUAGCCUAGUUUUAUAUUCACCAUCUCAGCAGCGCAAAAACUUGGGAUGGAAGUUCAUUAUUUUAGGAACAUAGCUUUGCCCUGUGCUCUUCGUGUAGCCUAGGCCUAUAGUAUAGACCAGCCUUUCCCAAACUAUUUUGUGCCAGGGAGACCCCAGAGGGUUUUUUAUAUUUGUAUUUUGUUGCAGCAAGAGAGAAGCUGGUCUCACAUAAGUAGGUAGAAUGAAAGGGGAUUCACUUCAACUCUGUCAUAUCGCGUUUGCUGCUGAACAGUCAGAAUGUGAACAGGCGCAUCUCAUUAAAACGAGAGCGCAGGCCUUGGUCACAGGACAGCUCCAAUAGUUUAUCAUCAAUAACUGAUGACAAGCUGUGAGUCUCUUCAGUGCUGGUGAACGGAUUACGUAUCCACUGCUUUCCCAGGCGUGGAUCAGAUUGCGAGGGGAAGUAAUCUUCGAAUUUGAGCAGAGUUUUGCUCAGAUGUGACCCCAACAAUUUAUGUAUGUGAUCCAUGUCUACAUAACCCACGUCAGUCAGAGUUUAGAAUAGAGGGGACAUAUCAAAAAAUGCCUCUAUCCACUCGGUCUCUCCAGACACCCAGUUUUUUCUUGAAAUCGGCAAUUCUAUCGUUUGCUUGGAAAAUGUCACUUUAGCGUCCCUGCAUGGCUAGGUUGAGCAGCAGUCUUGUCUAUAGGCCUGCAGUUCCCGAUACAACAGUCCCAUCGUAAUCCAUGUCCGUAUGUACUCGUUCAGGACACGCAGUUGUAUUCUGAGGCAACUCUUUGCCAGGUCAUUUUCAUAUGUGGCAAAUAUAUACAAAAAGCGGAAUUUGAAAUGUCAGUCUUCUUGUGAACUACAAUUCUGACGCUGUGUUUUAACGUUUAUAAACAUCCAAUAAUCAUCAGUGAUGAGUGACUAUGACUGCCAGUAAAACAGAUGAGGAUGGAACUGGGCCAGUGGAGCAGGCUCUGUCUCAGGUACAGUAAACCAAACGCACACACACUGAACAGCCAAUCCCAGCACACUAGUCAUUAUCUCUGAGUGUACAUUGCAUCUGUGUGGUGCAUUUGUGCAUGUUUUUCAUGUGCUCAUGUGAGUGUUUUCCUGUGUGUGUGUUCCACAGGACACAUCAGUGAUGACAGUGUCUCAGUGUGUUCUGGCUCUGUGGAUGCUGUUUCCUACCUGACCCUACACCAGAGGAGGAGCAGGGGCUGAUGAGCAUGCCCAAGACCAUGAUGGGAACAAUUUUAACCUGAGGAGGUGGUACAGGAUCAUGCAGUCUUCCCUGACCACAGACAGAGACAGCAGGACAACAUAGCCAGACUCUUUUCCCUCACCCUCCCUCUCCCCAUCUUCCCUCACCUUCUCCCACUAACCACACAUUUCCCUCACGCUCCUUCUCACCAUCAUCCCUCACACCACACUCUAUUCCCUCACCCUCCCUCUCCCUUUUCCCCCUCACCCUCUCCCACUAACCACGCUCUUCCCUCACCCUCCCUCUCCCCCUCUCCCACUAACACUCCCCCCCCAUCCUCACCUUCCCCAGGUGUUGCGGAGCAGCUACAGAUGAGUUUCCAGUAGCUGUUUGGUUCCCCUGCGGCCCCUACAUCCUCCGGGCCCAGCCUGCACCACCAAACCGUGGAGAGCAACCCUCCAGCCCUCCAACCUAAAAUACUGGCACCCAGCCCUGAGGGCCUGCAAGCCCAGGUUCUGUAAGAACCACUAUGCGGAGAUGGAGGCCACUCUCCUCAGGAUGUACGAAUGGCUACUGGACCGGUUCUCCUUCUUCCUGGGGGUGAAACCUGACUGUGUGUAUGAAGAAGUACUGAAGGUGGAGAGGCAUUUCCUCAGGAGCAGCAAGCCCUGGGCUAGAGCUUUAACUACGCCCACAAAGACACAGCCCAGAAAACAGCCCAACGGCAAACAAACCAGAAAAACAACUUUGUUCUCUAGGCAGCUAAAGAGAGUGACUUCAUCGGGACCAACUACUAUGGAUAGUUACUGUGCCAUAAUGCCAUGCUGACGGAUUACUUUCAUUUUUGUCUCGAUGUAACAUGAUUGUUUGCCUUUUUGUACAAAUUGCCUGUGGAUUACAAUGUGAUUACGAUGUGAUAUGAUGUUUAUGAACAUGCUGUACUUUCAGUUAUAUUAAACUAUAUUUUCUGUUAUUACAAUGAUAUACGUGAACCUUUGUCCCAGCUAUGAAUCGAGGUUCAUAAAAAUCAGACAUUUAUGCACAUACGGCUAUGCAACUCUGUUAAUUAAGGAAUACCAGACAUUUUAGGCUAAGACUACAGGCUGUCAAUUUGCGUGUUACUUUAGUUUUGAGUGUGAUGGACAGGUAAUGGGUGUUACCUGCCAUUAGUGGUUUUGGACGGCUUUGUCCCAAUUCCCGGACACUUCUAUGAAACUUUGUAGAAGCACCUAUGGCAGCGAUUACAGCUUUGAGUCGUCUUGUCUGUAUCAGCAUUGCACAUCUGGAUUUGGGGAUUUUCUCUCAUUCUUCCUUGCAGAUUUUCUCAUGCUCUGUUAAGUUAGAUGGGGAGCGGCAGUGAACAGCAAUCUUCAAGUCACUGCAGAUCAUCACCAAAUUUCACAGUGGGUGUGAGACCUGGAGAGGCCUACAAGCCACAGUGCCAGGUCAAUCAAGGUGUGGAUAGAGGACCACCAGAUCAAGACCCUGUCAUGGCCAGCCCAAUCUCCAGACCUGAACCCCAUUGAAAACCUCUAGAAUGUGAUCAAGAGGAAGAUGAAUGGUCACAAGCCAUCAAACAAAGCCAAGCUACUUACAUUUUUGCUCCAGAAGUGGCAUACAAUUGGAAAAUCUGAACAUCGCUCCCCAUGAUAGCUGUCUUUCGGAACGUGUUCCCACCUAUAAAUACCUUGGAGUUUGGUUAGAUGAUCAUCUCUUUUAAAACUCGUAACUGAGAUGGCAAAGAAGCUGUGUCAUCAGAGCACAGAACGUAAAUUGUACAGGCCACUUAUGUCAGUGCUUGAUUAUGGUGAUGUUUUAUAUAUGCAUGGAUCAGCAUCAGUACUGAAGACAUUGGAUGCAGCGUUGCGCUUUGUUACUUUUGCACACAACAUUGCCUUUUAUACACUUUGGCUGGCUGGGACUCCCUGACUUUUAGAAGGACCAGAUACUGGUUGAUAUUUGUCUAUAAAGCUGUCUUACAGAAACUUCCUAAUUAUCUUAACUCAACAAUCCAGUGGUCAAACAGAAUUUAUCAGACUCGGUCACAGGACAUGCUAGUGCUAGAGAUGCCCCAGAUUCACUCUGAGUUAGGCAAAACGGCAUUUCAAUAUCAUGCUCCACACUCAUGGAAUGAAUUGCAGAGAGAACUCCAGUUAGAUGUUUUGGUGCCUGUAAGACAGUUUAAAUGCACAUUACAUUAACUUUUUAGUAUAAACUGUGAUUUCUUUUUGUAAUGUGUUUUUCUUAUAGAAGUGUAUUUAUUUAAAUAGUUUUCAUCUCCGUCUUGUUACGGCUGUUAAAGGAAGAGGACCAAAGCGCAGCGUGGUUGGCGUACAUUUUCCUUUAUUGAAUAAAAAUGACGCCGAACAAAACAAUAAACACUACAAAACAGCUAAAGGCUAUGUGCCCUAAACAAAGUCAACUUUCCACAAAGACAGGUGGGAAAAGGGCUACCUAAGUAUGUUUCUCAAUCAGAGACAACGAUGGACAGCUGCCUCUGAUUGAGAACCACACCCUGCCAAACACAAAGAAAUAGAAACAUAGAAAUAAAGAAACUAGAAUGCCCACCCUAGUCACACCCUGGCCUAACCAAAAUAGAGAAUAAAAGCCUCUCUAGGGUGUGACACUUGUACUUUUUAUAUAUUUUCAUUUUGUUUGGUUUCAAAUUCAUAUUAAUUGCUGUGUUUGUAUUGUUGUAUCACAGGGCACAACUGUAAAAGAGACUGUCUCAGCUUGUUUCUCCUGUUUUAAUAAAGAUUAAUAAAAGAAAGUCACCCAACAUCAAUGUGAAAAACUGAUGGAGAGCAUGCCAAGACACAUGAAAUCAGGGUUAUUCUACCAAAUAUUGAUUUCUGAACUCUUCCUAAGUUAAAACAUUAGUAUUGUGUUGUUAAAAAUGAAUAUGAACUUAAUUUCUUUGCAUUAUUCGAGGUCUGACAACACUGCAUCUGUCAUUUUCUGCAAAUAAAAUGCUCUAAAUGACAAUAUUUUUAUUUGGAUUUUGGGAAAAAUGUUGUCAGUAGUUUAUAGAAUAAAACAAAAAUGUUAAUUUUACCCAAACACAUACCUAUAAAUAGUAAAACCAGAGAAACGGAUCAUUUUGAAGAUAUUCC
ensembl:lncRNA